rnacentral:rRNA from 1 species
UACGUAGGGCGCAAGCGUUAUCCGGAAUUAUUGGGCGUAAAGAGCUCGUAGGCGGUUUGUCGCGUCUGCCGUGAAAGUCCGGGGCUCAACUCCGGAUCUGCGGUGGGUACGGGCAGACUAGAGUGAUGUAGGGGAGACUGGAAUUCCUGGUGUAGCGGUGAAAUGCGCAGAUAUCAGGAGGAACACCGGUGGCGAAGGCGGGUCUCUGGGCCAAUACUGACGCUCAUGCACGAAAGCGUGGGGAGCAAACAGG